rnacentral:rRNA from 1 species
CGGUUGAUCCUGCCGGAGGCUACUGCCAUCAGAGUUCGAUUAAGCCAUGUUAGUCGAGGGUGCUUCUUCCUUCUCGGAGGAAGAGUAACCCGGCGGACGGCUCAGUAACACGUGGACAACUUACCCUUGGGACCGGGAUAACCCCUGGGAAACUGGGGCUAAUAUCGGAUAGAGCAUCGAUUACUGGAAUGUGCGAUGCUCGAAAGCUGAGGCGCCCAAGGAUAGGUCUGCGGCCGAUUAGGUUGUUGUUGAUGUCACGGAUCAACAAGCCUUCGAUCGGUACGGGUUGUGAGAGCAAUAGCCCGGAGAUGGGUUCUGAGAGAAGAACCCAGGUCCUACGGGACGCAUCAGGCGCGAAAACUUUACAAUGUGCGAAAGCACGAUAAGGGAACUCUGAGUGCCUCCUAAGGAGGCUGUUCAGGUGUCUAAAAAGCACCUGAAGUAAGGGCUGGGUAAGACCGGUGCCAGCCGCCGCGGUAACACCGGCAGCCCAAGUGGUAGCCACGUUUAUUGGGUCUAAAGCGUCCGUAGCCGGCUGCGCAAGUUCCUUGGGAAAUUUGGCCGCUUAACGGUCAACCUUUCAGGGAAUACUGCGUGGCUUGGGACCGGGAGAGGUCAGAGGUACUCUAAGGGUGGGGGUGAAAU